CAGGCUUAACACAUGCAAGUCGAGGGGCAGCAUGGUCUUAGCUUGCUAAGGCCGAUGGCGACCGGCGCACGGGUGAGUAACACGUAUCCAACCUGCCGUCUACUCUUGGACAGCCUUCUGAAAGGAAGAUUAAUACAAGAUGGCAUCAUGAGUCCGCAUGUUCACAUGAUUAAAGGUAUUCCGGUAGACGAUGGGGAUGCGUUCCAUUAGAUAGUAGGCGGGGUAACGGCCCACCUAGUCUUCGAUGGAUAGGGGUUCUGAGAGGAAGGUCCCCCACAUUGGAACUGAGACACGGUCCAAACUCCUACGGGAGGCAGCAGUGAGGAAUAUUGGUCAAUGGGCGAGAGCCUGAACCAGCCAAGUAGCGUGAAGGAUGACUGCCCUAUGGGUUGUAAACUUCUUUUAUAAAGGAAUAAAGUCGGGUAUGCAUACCCGUUUGCAUGUACUUUAUGAAUAAGGAUCGGCUAACUCCGUGCCAGCAGCCGCGGUAAUACGGAGGAUCCGAGCGUUAUCCGGAUUUAUUGGGUUUAAAGGGAGCGUAGAUGGAUGUUUAAGUCAGUUGUGAAAGUUUGCGGCUCAACCGUAAAAUUGCAGUUGAUACUGGAUAUCUUGAGUGCAGUUGAGGCAGGCGGAAUUCGUGGUGUAGCGGUGAAAUGCUUAGAUAUCACGAAGAACUCCGAUUGCGAAGGCAGCCUGCUAAGCUGCAACUGACAUUGAGGCUCGAAAGUGUGGGUAUCAAACAGGAUUAGAUACCCUGGUAGUCCACACGGUAAACGAUGAAUACUCGCUGUUUGCGAUAUACAGCAAGCGGCCAAGCGAAAGCGUUAAGUAUUCCACCUGGGGAGUACGCCGGCAACGGUGAAACUCAAAGGAAUUGACGGGGGCCCGCACAAGCGGAGGAACAUGUGGUUUAAUUCGAUGAUACGCGAGGAACCUUACCCGGGCUUAAAUUGCAGAUGAAUUACGGUGAAAGCCGUAAGCCGCAAGGCAUCUGUGAAGGUGUUGCAUGGUUGUCGUCAGCUCGUGCCGUGAGGUGUCGGCUUAAGUGCCAUAACGAGCGCAACCCUUGUUGUCAGUUACUAACAGGUUCCGCUGAGGACUCUGACAAGACUGCCAUCGUAAGAUGUGAGGAAGGUGGGGAUGACGUCAAAUCAGCACGGCCCUUACGUCCGGGGCUACACACGUGUUACAAUGGGGGGGUACAGAGGGCCGCUACCACGCGAGUGGAUGCCAAUCCCAAAAACCUCUCUCAGUUCGGACUGGAGUCUGCAACCCGACUCCACGAAGCUGGAUUCGCUAGUAAUCGCGCAUCAGCCACGGCGCGGUGAAUACGUUCCCGGGCCUUGUACACACCGCCCGUCAAGCCAUGGGAGCCGGGGGUACCUGAAGUGCGUAACCGCGAGGAGCGCCCUAGGGUAAAACUGGUGACUGGGGCUAAGUC
rnacentral:rRNA from 1 species